UCUCCCACACCGUGCCCUUAGGAAA
rnacentral:piRNA from 1 species